rnacentral:lncRNA from 1 species
AAGAGAUGAAAUUAAAAAAAAAAUAGAAGAGGAUUUUUAAUUUGUGUCAUCAUUCAACGGUUAAUGAAAGUUAUAGAUUUUUUUUUUGUGAGAGAAGGAAGUUAGUUUAUGAAUUGAUAACCAACAAAAGAUACUAAUCACUCAAGUUAUUUAUAAAAAAGAUAAAGGGUAAUUUUGGAACAAAAAUAGGCCACUCCAAAAACUUGUAUCCCCUUUAUAUAUAGUUUUCAACGGUUAAUGAAAGUUAUAGAUUUUUUUU